rnacentral:lncRNA from 1 species
UCUCGUAAUUCUGCAAAUUGCCCUGUAAAUCAUCUUUUAUUGCGUCCACAAAAGAGGAAACAGAACAAAUUUUCAAGUGUUAUUACAAGCAGACAUGCAAUUUCAUUAACCAAAGGAAAAACAAAAACGUUUCAUAACCAUAAUACAAUAUUGAAUAAUUAAAUUACAUAAAAGCUUCAGUUGGAUCUCCCCGAAACAAAACCUUUUAGGGCUAAACUCUAACUUCAUAUGUUUGCCCUACAAAGAGCCAACAAUUAAUUACAGGCAGCUAGAGUUACUGGUGCAUCAGCACUUGAUGCUUCAAGCCUGCAAAUUAUGGGCGACGCCGAACAAAUAUAAGAUGGGUGUUGCAUUAAAAAGUUGAAAGUAAACAAACCCUCGCUCAAAGAGGAUAAAUUAUAAAAUUAAAUGAAUUUGGUACCAGAUCUCACUUGCAAUAAGGCAUUCUAGGAUUAUAAGAACUAAACUGAUGAAUCCAAAUAUACUAGAACAGAGGUGGAUCAAAAGCCAGGAAGCUAGAUAGAACUGUCUGGAACAGUCGUUCUAAAUAUGUCAUAGAAUCGAUUCCCAUCCUCACCAAGGCUUUUGAGGAGUGAGUAAAUUGACAAGAGAGCAAAAUAUGGUAAGGUGAUAAGAGCAUACGCAAGUCCCAACGAGAAGCAAAACCCAACAGCAAAUUUGAAGAAUAUGCAUGGGCACAUGCAAGCAACCAUGCAAGCCAUGCAUGAGGUGGGCAUCACGUGGACGUAUGUCUUGACUCCUUCAAGGACUCUUCAAGGAUCCAGCGGGAAGGCUUUACGACAUCAAGCCGUAUUGAUGGAGAAUUUAUAUUUAAACAUAGUUCCUUUAAGAUUGUUAUUUACUUCGAAUUCUUAGCUAAGUUGUUUUAUUCGUUUAUUUAGCCGUAGUUGUAGGAUGGAAACCAAAGUCUUGUUAUUAUAAAUAAGCUCCAGAAUAUGAAUAAAGGCAUUGAGAAUUCUAAAACAACAAUUAUUUGGUCCUUUCUCGCCAUAAGCAGAAAAAUAUCACUUGUGCUACGCGUGAUCAUUAGCUGUCUCUGACUGGGACCUAUCAUAAGGGCUUUGACCAUUUUGCUCUGUGUUGUGUUGUAAAUAGAAACAUUCAGGAUAGGUCAAUUUCACAUAUGCAUUCCUUAUCCAGCUUCUGUAAUCAAGCAAAAUGUAUUGAAGAUGUGAGAUUAACAGGGUUGACUAAAGGUAAAAAACCAUAAAUACCCAAAAAGUUCUUAAAAAAAUAUUGAUGGAUCUACAAUACUCAAGGAGGAUCAAAACUGAAAAUGACAGAGAAGAAAAAAAGGUAAAAAAACAACUUACAAAAAUAAACAUGGAAUGACCAGAGCAA